UACGAAGGGGGCUAGCGUUGUUCGGAAUUACUGGGCGUAAAGCGCACGUAGGCGGAUUUGCCAGUCAGGGGUGAAAUCCCGGGGCUCAACCUCGGAACUGCCUCUGAUACAGCAAGUCUUGAGUCCGGAAGAGGUGGGUGGAAUUCCUAGUGUAGAGGUGAAAUUCGUAGAUAUUAGGAAGAACACCAGUGGCGAAGGCGGCCAACUGGUCCGGUACUGACGCUGAGGUGCGAAAGCGUGGGGAGCAAACAGG
rnacentral:rRNA from 1 species